ACUGUUUUUGUACGUUGGUUUGACAAUUAGAGUGAGUGUGAGCGAGUCUAAGUCAAGUGAAGUAGCCAAGUGCAUAUCGUAUCAUGGUGGUCAAUCUGCAAGCCUUCCCUGUGUGAAGAUGACUGGGAAGUACACAAUCUGGUUAAUCCCCGCCACCCCAUGUUCAUCUGCGUCUUCCUUAAGUAUGCGAAUGUACCCAUCUUCUCCCCAUUUCGGUCCCCACGAGUUCUUCACGAUCCAGUACUCUCCCUCUUCACAAACCCCCCACCCCACUAGCAGCAUAUAGUGUACUCCGCGAGUUUUGCCCGAUAUCCUUCUGUAUAUACCCUGCGAUCAAACCACAGGGAAGAAGCAAUCAAUGGAGGAAGCAGCAAGGCAAGUAGAUGAAUCAGUGGAAGAAGCAGCAAGACAAGUAGAUGAAUCAGUGGAAGAAGCAGCGAGACAAGUAGAUCAAUCACUAGAAUGCCUGCAUAUCAAUGAAAUUGAGAUUGGGUUUGCUCUGGAGAAGCUUUAUGCUGAUGGUAUGGUGAAGCAGUAGAUAGUACCCUGCAACACUAUCUGAUUCAUUGAGGAUUGCAGAAUGAUGCUGCAGAUUCAAACUUGGUAUUUUGAUGUUUACAGUUGGGAUGUGAUUACUUAAUUUGUAUGUUAUUUUGAUGUUUGGACUUGGGAAUUUGGAUGCCUUCUUCUAUAUAUUGGGUGUAGCACCACCUAGGAAUACAUUAGAUUGAAGAUGCAGUACAAAAAGUUAUAUUCAAUCUAUUGACUUUCUACUACCAGCUCAAAACUAUUGCUGCUCUAGAUUUGUACUGCUUACUCUUGUUACUGAUCAAAAUUUGUUCUGCUAUA